GUUAAAGUGGCAGAGCCCGGCGAAAUGCAGAAGGCCUAAGCCCUUUCCACAGGGGUUCAAAUCCUCUUUUUAACU
rnacentral:tRNA from 2 species